UAAAUGAUGCGUAACCGUGUUACACUGUACAGUGUUUCUCGGGUUGCAGAAGAGUUAGUGGAAGGCACUUCGUUUGUCGCUCACAAUUUCCUGGUAGGGAUCAUCAUCCCCAUUUUACAGCCGUGGAAACUGAAGUGUAGAAGGGAGUAAAAAGGAGUUUCUGCAAUGGCAGCACCGGAUGGGGUUGGGAGCGGAUCUAAAUAUUCUGCUCCAGUCCCAGAGGCCUCUUUUCGACUCCAGGUAAUGCCAUCUGCUGUGAUUAAAAUCCACCAGGGGUCACAUUCCACUCCCAGAAGAUUGUAACACUGACCCAGGAGUGCCCUUCCUAAAAAACCACCUCCCCCAGGAAGUACUCUAUGAUCUCUCUGGCAGAUCAGAAUCCACCCUUGAAUUUCCACAGAACAACACAAUGGCGAGUUUUGGAGGUGGGUCCCCACAAUCUACAGCAGGACCUGGACAGGCCUGGCCUACCCGAGAGGGCUUAGAGGGCCCAGGGCCCCUGGUGGCAUGUGGGAGGAUCCUGGGGAUCAGUCGUCCCGCCUGUAAAAUGGGAAUUUGGAUUACUGCCCUGCCCUCCUCACGGGCAAUCUGCAGAUUGGUCUGGAGAGAACGUACGAGAUCUGGCGCACUGGCUUCACAGCUUUGGGAAAAUUGUAACUCUUUGGAAACAGAUGGAUCGAAAAAUCGAGCGUCUCCUUCAACCCGGUCUCUUCCACAUGGCAUUUGAAGACCCAUGUUGCCUGGCCUGUUGCGUGCACGGGGCAGUCAUUAUGAACUCCACGGGUCUGCAGACACGGCUUUCUUCAGAAAAGUGCAGUAGGAUGGGUGUUCUGUUCCCCCCUCAUUGCUUCCCCCGCUCACCCUUGGAGAGGGGUCUUUGGCGGGGUAACUCACCAGUAUGAUUCAAUGAAAAGGGUUCAAUAUUAGCAAAAAUAUGAAUUCUAGAUGUUUCUCUCUGGAGGGUCUGGAAGAUUGGAGACUACUUUCAGGACUGGGACAAGGCAAGUGAGGCGACUGAGGCACACCUAGGUACUAGCUCUACUGAGAAUGAUGCCCCCUUGAAUUUGUGCCCUUUGUGCCUUGCUGGUCUCACCCUAGCUUCUGGCCACAGGCUCCAACGCACGCUGGUGAGGAGAAGCUGUGGUUACAUCUCAGGUUGGAGCCGACACUGAAGAUCUUUGUGGCCCUGACUUCAGAGAGAUCGAGAGGGGGUGCUCGGCCAGGGACAAGAGACUGUGUCUGCCCAGACCAUCGGGUGACUCUGUGGCCAGGGCCCUGUGUGUAUGUGAGACUCUGGGCUCUGUGGGUUUGGGAUCAGCCAAUAAAUCUUCCUGGUGAUGUUCUGUCUACAUCCCUUUCAGACUUUGCAGGACACCACGGAAGGGUCACAAAUGGAAAAUGAAACAAAAUUAA